CGCUGGCGGCGCGCUUUAUACAUGCAAGUCGAACGAGAAGCCAGAGCUUGCUCUGGUGGAAAGUGGCGAACGGGUGAGUAACACGUGAGAAACCUGCCCCAAAGACUGGGAUAAGCCGAGGAAACUUGGUCUAAUACCGGAUACCUUCUUUUAUCGCAUGUUAAAAAGAAGAAAUGCUCCGGCGCUUUGGGAUGGUCUCGCGACCUAUCAGCUUGUUGGUGAGGUAAAAGCUCACCAAGGCAUCGACGGGUAGCUGGUCUGAGAGGAUGUCCAGCCACAUUGGGACUGAGAUACGGCCCAAACUCCUACGGGAGGCAGCAGUAGGGAAUCUUGCACAAUGAGGGAAACCUUGAUGCAGCGACGCCGCGUGCGGGACGAAGGCCCUAGGGUUGUAAACCGCUUUCAGUAGGGACGAAAGUGACGGUACCUACAGAAGAAGCCCCGGCCAACUAUGUG
rnacentral:rRNA from 1 species